UACGUAGGGGGCUAGCGUUGUCCGGAUUUAUUGGGCGUAAAGAGCGUGUAGGCGGCUAGGUAGGUCCGUUGUGAAAACUCGAGGCUCAACCUCGAGACGUCGAUGGAAACCAUCUAGCUAGAGUCCGGAAGAGGAGAGUGGAAUUCCUGGUGUAGCGGUGAAAUGCGCAGAUAUCAGGAGGAACACCAGCGGCGAAGGCGGCGCUCUGGGCCGGUACUGACACUGAGGAGCGAAAGCGUGGGUAGCAAACAGG
rnacentral:rRNA from 1 species